UACGUAGGGGGCGAGCGUUGUCCGGAUUUAUUGGGCGUAAAGAGCGUGUAGGCGGUUCGGUAGGUCCGUUGUGAAAACUCGAGGCUCAACCUCGAGACGCCGAUGGAAACCAUCGAACUAGAGUCCGGAAGAGGAGUGUGGAAUUCCUGGUGUAGCGGUGAAAUGCGUAGAUAUCAGGAAGAACACCGUGGCUAAGGCGGCUCUCUAGUACGGUACUGACGCUGAGACGCGAAAGCGUGGGGAGCGAACAGG
rnacentral:rRNA from 1 species